GAAUAUGUAUAAAGGCGGCCGAAACUGGCCAAAACCUGUCGAAAAUGGCUAGGUCGAGGCAAACCACCGCCACGGGCGAUGGUGUCGUUGUCGGAGCAUGGCGGUGCCACCAUACUGGAACCCUAAAAUUGGCUAAAAAGGAUUUUUAACACCAAUUUUAGAUUUUUGGAAUAUUUUUAAGUACAUGAAACGUGUUUUAAUCUCUGCAGAAAAAUUCAGAAAACUUGAAGACAACCAGUAGAUGCAGUAAAAAGUUCAGUAUUCCAAACAACGAUUUUGGUAAGAAUCCC
rnacentral:lncRNA from 1 species